AGAGUUUGAUCCUGGCUCAGGAUGAACGCUAGCGGCAGGCCUAAUACAUGCAAGUCGAACGGUGAUAGCAAUAUCAUAGUGGCGCACGGGUGCGUAACACGUAUGCAACCUACCUAUUAUUGGGGGAUAGCCUUUGGAAACGGAGAUUAAUACCGCAUAAUACGAUUGACUGGCAUCGGUUGAUUGUUAAAGCUUCGGCGAUAAUAGAUGGGCAUGCGUCCAAUUAGUUAGUUGGUUAGGUAACGGCUGACCAAGACGAUGAUUGGUAGGGGAUCUGAGAGGAUAAUCCCCCACACUGGCACUGAGAUACGGGCCAGACUCCUACGGGAGGCAGCAGUAGGGAAUAUUGGGCAAUGGGCGGAAGCCUGACCCAGCCAUGCCGCGUGCAGGAAGAAGGCGUUAUGCGUUGUAAACUGCUUUUUUAUAGGAAGAAGGAUCCCUUGCGAGGGAAGGUGACGGUACUAUAAGAAUAAGCACCGGCUAACUCCGUGCCAGCAGCCGCGGUAAUACGGAGGGUGCAAGCGUUGUCCGGAUUUAUUGGGUUUAAAGGGUGCGUAGGCGGUUUAUUAAGUCAGUGGUGAAAGACGGUCGCUCAACGAUUGCAGUGCCAUUGAUACUGGUAGACUUGAGUGAGAUUGAGGUAGCUGGAAUGGAUGGUGUAGCGGUGA
rnacentral:rRNA from 1 species